UGGGGAAUUUUGGACAAUGGGCGAAAGCCUGAUCCAGCCAUGCCGCGUGUGUGAAGAAGGUCUUCGGAUUGUAAAGCACUUUAAGUUGGGAGGAAGGGCCAUUACCUAAUACGUGAUGGUUUUGACGUUACCGACAGAAUAAGCACCGGCUAACUCUGUGCCAGCAGCCGCGGUAAUACAGAGGGUGCAAGCGUUAAUCGGAAUUACUGGGCGUAAAGCGCGCGUAGGUGGUUUGUUAAGUUGGAUGUGAAAUCCCCGGGCUCAACCUGGGAACUGCAUUCAAAACUGACUGACUAGAGUAUGGUAGAGGGUGGUGGAAUUUCCUGUGUAGCGGUGAAAUGCGUAGAUAUAGGAAGGAACACCAGUGGCGAAGGCGACCACCUGGACUGAUACUGACACUGAGGUGCGAAAGCGUGGGGAUCAAACAGGAUUAGAUACCCGAGUAGUCCCUGAGCGGGCUGGCAAGGCGCAU
rnacentral:rRNA from 1 species